rnacentral:rRNA from 1 species
UACGGGGGGAGCAAGCGUUGUUCGGAUUUACUGGGCGUAAAGGGCGCGUAGGCGGUCGUGACAAGUCACUUGUGAAAUCUCCGGGCUUAACUCGGAACGGUCAAGUGAUACUGUCGGACUAGAGUACAGAAGGGGCAACUGGAAUUCUCGGUGUAGCGGUGAAAUGCGUAGAUAUCGAGAGGAACACCUGCGGCGAAGGCGGCCUUCUGGACAGUGACUGACGCUGAGACGCGAAAGCGUGGGGAGCAAACAGG